UAAAAAGUGAUCUAGGGUUCCGAUACUUGUCUAAAAGAGUAUGUCUGGACCGAGAGUUCGCGGUUCGAAAGAACUACACGGAGGGAUAAAAGCCCGGGAGGA
rnacentral:sRNA from 2 species